rnacentral:rRNA from 1 species
UGUGGUUAAUUCGAUGCAACGCGAAGAACCUUACCUGGUCUUGACAUCCCGGAGACCCUUAGGAAACUAGGGGGUGCUUCCAUCUGGAAGAAUCUGGAGACAGGUGCUGCAUGGCUGUCGUCAGCUCGUGUCGUGAGGUGUUGGGUUAAGUCCCGCAACGAGCGCAACCCUUGCCUUUAGUUGCCAGCAGUUCGGCUGGGCACUCUAAAGGGACUGCCGGUGUUAAACCGGAGGAAGGUGGGGAUGACGUCAAGUCCUCAUGGCCUUUAUGACCAGGGCUACACACGUACUACAAUGGCCGAUACAAAGGGCAGCGACACUGCGAGGUGAAGCCAAUCCCGUAAAAUCGGUCUCAGUCCGGAUUGGAGUCUGCAACUCGACUCCAUGAAGUUGGAAUCGCUAGUAAUCGUGGAUCAGCAUGCCACGGUGAAUACGUUCCCGGGCCUU